GGCGUGGGUCUGCUAAAUAGGCUUUUGUAGUUUGUAGUCUAGCAGACCCAU
rnacentral:sRNA from 1 species